CCAGCCAAGAUCUCCUCAACAUCUUCAUCUCCACCUCGUUGAAGCAACAUCAGCUCAUUCUUCCGGAUUACUUCGUACUUCUUCUCCGCGAUUUGGCUUCAUCUUCCCGAGUUUCACAACAUCCAAACACGGCCCCAAAUAUCUCUCUGUUUGCAAGACCAAUCUCCCAGCAUCCUUAUCCCUUCUUCCUCACCGAAGGGAGUCGGCUGAUCAUCUUCUCAGAGGGCGGGGAGAAGCCAAGUUCCCACGAAAGAAUAAAAAAAAAAGAGAGAAAGGAGAGGGAGAGAAUACUUUGUGAUAUUUUGGAAAUAGAGAGAGUGGGAUGGAAGGGAAAGAUUUUUAUAUGAAGAUGGAAGCCUGCUGCUGUGCUGCUGCUGCCGUCUACCACUCCAUGGAAGGCUGAUCUCCUCUCUAGGGCUGGAUGCAGCCCUAACAAAGGGACACAGGUUUUAUGUUUUUAAUUUUUAUUCUUGGGGUUGUAUGAACUUAUUGUUUUUAAUGGAUAUCUU
rnacentral:lncRNA from 1 species